rnacentral:rRNA from 1 species
UACAGAGGUCUCAAGCGUUGUUCGGAUUCAUUGGGCGUAAAGGGUGUGUAGGUGGCGCCGUAAGUCGGGUGUGAAAUUUCGGAGCUUAACUCCGAAACUGCAUUCGAUACUGCGGUGCUUGAUGACUGGAGAGGAGACUGGAAUUCAUGGUGUAGCAGUGAAAUGCGUAGAGAUCAUGAGGAAGACCAGUGGCGAAGGCGGGUCUCUGGACAGUUCCUGACACUGAGACACGAAGGCCAGGGGAGCAAACGGG